AUGCAGCUGACGAGUUACAAAUGGGAUGAAACUCGAGUCCUGGAU
rnacentral:hammerhead_ribozyme from 1 species